UACGUAGGGGGCAAGCGUUGUCCGGAAUUACUGGGCGUAAAGCGCACGUAGGCGGCUUUGUAAGUUAGAGGUGAAAGCCCGGGGCUCAACUCCGGAACUGCCUUUAAGACUGCAUCGCUUGAAUCCAGGAGAGGUGAGUGGAAUUCCGAGUGUAGAGGUGAAAUUCGUAGAUAUUCGGAAGAACACCAGUGGCGAAGGCGGCUCACUGGACUGGUAUUGACGCUGAGGUGCGAAAGCGUGGGGAGCAAACAGG
rnacentral:rRNA from 1 species